rnacentral:rRNA from 1 species
GACGAACGCUGGCGGCGUGCCUAACACAUGCAAGUCGAGCGGUAAGGCCCUUUCGGGGGUACACGAGCGGCGAACGGGUGAGUAACACGUGGGUGACCUGCCCUCAGCUCUGGGAUAAGCCUGGGAAACCGGGUCUAAUACUGGAUAUGACUCCAUGACGCAUGUUGUGGGGUGGAAAGCCUUGUGCGGCUGAGGAUGGGCCCGCGGCCUAUCAGCUUGUUGGUGGGGUGANGGCCUACCAAGGCGACGACGGGUAGCCGGCCUGAGAGGGCGACCGGCCGACACUGGGACUGAGACACGGCCCACGACUCCUACGGGAGGGCAGCAGUGGGGAAGUCUUGCGCAAUGGGCGAAAGCCUGACGCAGCGACGCCGCGUGAGGGAUGACGGCCUC